rnacentral:rRNA from 1 species
AGGAUAAACGCUGGCGGCGUGCCUAACACAUGCAAGUCGAACGCGCUUUCGGGCUUCGGUGCGAGAGCGAGUGGCGGACGGGUGAGUAACACAUGGGUACCUACCUUGGAGUGAGGGAUACCGGCGAGAAAUCGCCGACAAUACCACAUAGGCUUCUUCACAAGGGAAGCAAAGUGACGCGAGUCACGCUUUGAGAUGGGCCUGUGGCCGAUUAGCUAGUUGGGGGGGUAACGGCUUCCCAAGGCGACGAUCGGUAGCUGGUCUGAGAGGACGAUCAGCCACACUGGGAUUGAGAACGGCCCAGACUCCUACGGGGGCAGCAGUGAGGAAUUUUCCGCAAUGGAGGCAACUCUGACGGAGCAACGCCGCGUGCAGGAGGAAGGUUUUCGGAUCGUAAACUGCUUUUCGUCGGGGACGAGCAAGGACGGUACCCGAGGAAGAAGCCCCGGCUAACUACGUGCCAGCAGCCGC